UAUCUACCCAACAUGUUGAAACUUCUGUUUUUCAUCUGUUUACCUUUGCACCACAUUUUAGGAGAAACCCUUUGCUGGUCCUUCAGGACAUUAAUUUGCUCUCCAGCAAUACUUCUUCUGCCAUUCAAUCAACCCAUCUACUGAGUUUUGUUUUCAGGAUACAACAUCAUUAUGCAUCUCCUAAGGACCAAUAUUUAUUUUAAGCAUAAUUUAGGAAAUCAUUAUCUUUCUAAGUAUUACAAGCUAUCUAAGAUAAUGCCUUCUUUAAUAGACCCAGGUGUCCACAUUCUGCUCUAUCAAAGCAGACACCUUAAUGCUUGCUGCCUUACACAAUGCAGGCAGCAUACUGCUGAGGUCAUUAUUUGUAUCCACCACUUCCAAGCCUGAAGCCUAUUUGGUCAUUUCCUGUGGAUUUUGGUUUACUUUUUCAAUUGGAUCCUGUCUGUUUUUAUAAUUUUUCAGAAACUCCACUUAAUUUCCAGUCCACCAAAGGCACCUAUUUUUAUACUCCAGUGUUAUUUUUUUAUGCAAACAAAUUGCU